GAUAAAAGCAAUUGAACCUGAGUAAUAUAAUUUGUAUAACUAUUACAAUGGCUAUGUAAGUUUUUUAGUGUCUUACAUAUAGUGGAUGCCAUAGUCUUUGUAAUUGUUAGGACAUGUAUAGCAGACACAACUACAAUUUUUUCAAUUGUGCAAAACAUAUAAAUAUCUAGAGCAUUAGAACUUAUUCUAAUUCAAGAAGUCACGUAA
rnacentral:lncRNA from 1 species